CCCGGGAUGGUCUAAUCGGUUAAAGGCGUCGCCCCGGACAGGCGAAGGUUGCGGGUUCAAUCCCAGCUCCUGGCC
rfam:Ixodes scapularis strain Wikel colony gcontig_1107729072698, whole genome shotgun sequence.